rnacentral:lncRNA from 1 species
AAGUUUUGGGGCUGUUUGGAAGGGAAUCAUCAGCUCGCGAGGGACGCGGCUUGCUGCUGCCAGGAACGCGGAGAUAAUUACCUGCCCUUAGCACGGGAGAGCCCAACGAGCGGGAGCCGCCCCUCCUUCCACCUCCCCGGGAUCCCACCGCCGCGUCUGCACGGAGCGCCAAGCGCCGGACCACAGCGGCAGAGGAGGACUGUGGCGUUGCGAGGCUGUGUCGCGUAGGUGACCUUGUUUUUCAGGUUACUGACUCACUGCUGAAGCYGAAAGAUGGRUAGAUCUUCAGGAAGAGAUACUGCGUCCCCUGGCCUGAGAAAGAGCAGGGAAAAGGUAAGGCAAAUUCAUAGGCAGUCCACAAACCGUGUACCU